ensembl:lncRNA
UCCCACUCUGUGCCCUGGAAGGAAGGAGAACCCAGGAGAGAUUCUUUACCUUUGCAGAUAUACAAUCAGGCCCCAAACCUGUACCAGCUGUCGCAGGCCAUCUCUGCAGGCUGGAAAUCAGGACACUGGGUCAUGGUGGUGAAGGCAGGGGCAUGAGGUGAUGGAGAAGCUCACAGACAGGUUUCUCAUUUGCAAAGUGCUUCCAUAACUACCCCUUGCUGCCCACACAACCACCAUGGGGUGUGUGUGUGGUGGGGGGAAGGGAGCAGGGAGACCUCACAGAGGAAUCCCAGCCAUGUGAAACAGCUUAUUCUCAGUCCAACCUGGAGGGUCCACCUCCCAAUCCAGGCACUCCUGGUCCAAGACAGCCCACAUGCCCCUGCUGGGUCACACCCUUUCCCAGGCUCCUCACAGGUUGAUUCCACAAAAGUAUCGGUUCCUGCUUUCCUUUCCUGAGGAUUCUGUUCCCUGAUGUUGGCAUCCUUAGGGACGAUGGAGCUGGUUCCUCAGGGCUGGGAGAGAUGGAAGCAGACUCUCAAGACACACAGGGCUGAUCGUGGAAGCUUACCUUUCAAGGCUCUAUUUCUCAUCCAACUCCUCCUCCUCACUAGCAGCUCCAUUUGUUGCUGAGAAACAGAAAAACAAAAACAAAGAGGGGCUGGUUCCCACAUCUCACUCUGCCUUCUCUAAAGCAUCAGACACUCAAUACAUUCCACGACCAGACAUAAUAGGACUUUCUCCAUGGAACUCAUGGAGCUCUGUGGGGUUUUUUUUCUUUCAUUCAUUUAAAAAGUGGACACAAAUAUUAUGUGUUCCUUCAUCAAAGAAGGCAAGGAAGGAUUUUCUAUGAGAUCUACUCUGGAUUUCUCGCAUCACUGUUCCUCUCCUCAAGAAACACACCUUUUCAGGUCUCUGCUCCCCGAGGUGGGGCACCAUCUGCUCAGAGGCUCCCAGGGGCCUCAGCACUGCCUUCAGAUCAGCCCUUGUUCAAGACACUUGUUUGUGGCUGGUGAACCAGUGCUCAGGGUCUUGACCUGUGGCUGAAAUUGAACUCUUAGUAUCCCCUCCUUGGCCGCUUGUCACUGCAUUUGGGACUAGCCCUGGAGGCCUCUCCCCUCCUGGGACACCUGGUCUGAGAUCUUUGGCUAGAAAUCCCAGCACCCACUCUAUACCCUGUCAGGCCUGGCUUGUCCCUAAGGCCUGUCUUGUUUCCUGAGACUAGAUGUCCUCUUCUUUCCCAUCUCAGGAGUCUCUCUAGUUGCUUCAGAAAAGUGAAAGUAAUACUAGAAAAGAGAGAAUCAUGUACUCUUGGGUCUGGGCCAUGAGUUCCUUACCUUUCUGAUGCUUCCAUGUGUCCUAGGUGGUAGUGAGGACGGAUCACUCCUGAGGUAGGGGAGUAGUAGGAAGAAGAGCCCCAGUCCACACACCAAGGCGAGGAUGGUUUCAUUCACCCAGGAAGUGGGACUGGGGUGCCAGCAAGGAACACAAAUGUUUUUCAGAAAAGAGAGAAGAUUCUUCAUCUCUUUUCUCUGAAAGGCUUUCACAUGAAAUAACACUGUUAACUCUCAUGUAACUGAACACUGUGAAUGAUCUUGCAGUUAGAGCCCCAGGCUCAUAUCACAGAACUGCAGCUACAUCACAAAGGGCUCUUGAGGGUGGGGGAGGGGACAGAAGAGGAGGAGGCUGGGCCAGCGCCCCUCCUCCACCACCCAGCCCCUCAGCUCUCUCAUUCCAGCCUCUUGGGCCUUCUAGACCUUAAUUUUCAGAUCAUUACACCUGAAAGCCAGGUAUUUCCACAGGUCUCUUGGGGAUCUUGGCUUGAGCCCACAUAUUUCCUAGCCUUUGAAAGUCUGAUAUUCUCCCAGGCACUUGGCUGUUUCCCAGGGACAAGUAUAUAAACUGUCAGCAUCUCCUCUGUCCACAAUUUCAUCCUUUUUUCACUUUGCCUAUUUACAUAUAAGUUGUACUUCCUCAGCAGAUUUCAAUGAUACAACACAGUGUUAUCAGCUCAUGUUGUACAUUAGAUCCCAAAACCUUCAUUUCAUAAUGAAGUCUGUGUCAGGGAGCAACCAUUAGGGAGUGUCCUUAUUGCCCUUCUCAGCCACUGGUCAGCAUUGCGGUGGGCCCUUCCCCCAAGCAAGUGACAGUGAGUGACCAUGAGCCCCUCCCCCUCUCCCCUUCCCUCUGUAUAAGCAGAGCCUGAAUUUGGACUGAGGCAAGAUGGGUUUUUGAGACACUAGUCUGCCAUCUUGUCGGUCUUCCAGCUUUCCACUUAAAGUUGCUAUUCCUUGUCCCAACAACUCCUCUCUGAAUUUAUUGGCCUGU